rnacentral:rRNA from 1 species
UACGUAGGGAGCAAGCGUUGUCCGGAAUCAUUGGGCGUAAAGCGCGCGUAGGCGGCCUCAUAAGUCCGUUGUGAAAGUCAAAGGCUCAACCUUUGAAAGCCGAUGGAUACUGUGAGGCUAGAGUCCGGAAGAGGCGAGUGGAAUUCCUGGUGUAGCGGUGGAAUGCGCAGAUAUCAGGAGGAACACCAAUAGCGAAGGCAGCUCGCUGGGACGGUACUGACGCUAAGGCGCGAAAGCGUGGGGAGCGAACAGGA